AGUUUUGAGGCGGCGUGACUGGGGAAUCCCCGGUUGCGUCAUUAGUAGGCGUGGAGGGGCGGGACUCGUGAAGCUGCGCUGGGGCCGGGCUCUGAGAGGACCGGCGCAGCCGCGGGGAGCCUUUGAGGCCCUCCCUCGGUGUUUUUUCCCAGGGCGUGGGCUUGCCCCGCGCGUGUCUGUGGAGGGCGGAAACAGCGGCGGGGCCAGUCUCCUGGCGAAGGGGCCUAAUCCUUGCCCGCCAUGUCCGGGGGCUUCGAGCUGCAGCCGCGGGACGGCGGUCCCCGGGUGGCCCUGGCGCCCGGGGAGACGGUGAUCGGCCGCGGGCCGCUGCUGGGAAUAACAGACAAGAGAGUAUCCAGAAGACAUGCCAUUCUUGAGGUGGCAGGUGGUCAGCUGCGAAUCAAACCGAUACACACAAAUCCAUGUUUUUACCAGUCUUCAGAGAAGAGUCACCUCUUACCAUUGAAGCCAAAUCUGUGGUGCUAUUUGAAUCCUGGAGACAGCUUUUCUUUGUUAGUUGACAAAUACAUUUUCCGCGUUCUCUCUAUACCCUCUGAAGCGGAAAUGCAGUGUACCUUAAGAAACAGUCAAGUGCUUGAUGAAGAUAAUAUAUUGAAUGAAACACCAAAAUCCCCCGUGAUUAAUUUACCUCAUGAGACUACUGGUGCCUCACAACUGGAAGGAAGCACAGAAAUAGCCAAGACCCAGAUGACUCCCACAAAUAGUGUGUCUUUCCUAGGUGAAAAUAGAGACUGCAGUAAGCAGCAGCCAAUCCUUGCCGAGAGGAAAAGAAUCCUUCCAGCUUGGAUGUUAGCAGAACAUUUAAGUGAUCAAAACCUUUCAGUACCAGCAAUCAGUGGAGGUAAUGUAAUCCAGGGAAGUAGAAAAGAAGAAAUCUGCGAAGAUAAAACCCAGCUAAACACAACCCAGCAAGGAAGAAGGCAAUUAAUUUCAUCAGGAAGUUCAGAAAAUACAUCAGCAGAACAAGACACAGGAGAAAAGUGCAAAAAUACUGAUCAGGAAGAGUCUACCAUUUCAUCCAAGGAAAUGCCACAAUCAUUUUCUGCAAUCACAUUAAGUAACACAGAGAUGAAUAAUAUUAAGACUAAUGCACAGAGAAACAAACUUCCAAUAGAGGAACUUGGUAAAGUUUCUAAACAUAAAAUUGCCACUAAAAGAACACCACAUAAAGAAGAUGAGGCAAUGAGCUGUUCUGAAAAUUGUUCGAGUGCCCAGGGCGAGUCAUUUCAGGAUGAGUCUCAAGGGUCUCAUUCUGAGUCCAGCUCUAAUCCCUCCAAUUCUGAAACUUUGCAUGCAAAGGCAACUGAUUCAGUUCUACAAGGUUCUGAAGGAAACAAGGUCAAGAGGACAUCCUGCAUGUAUGGGGCAAACUGCUAUAGUAUAUUUGUCGCCCUCCUAGGAAGAAUCCUGUUCAUUUUCAACAUUUUAGCCAUCCUGGUGAUAGUGAUUAUGGAGGUGUACAAAUUGUGGGCCAAGAUGAGACUGAUGACCGGCCUGAAUGUCCCUAUGGACCAUCCUGUUAUAGGAAGAAUCCCCAGCACAAGAUAGAAUAUAGACAUAAUACGCUUCCAGUGAGAAAUGUUUUAGAUGAAGAUAAUGAUAAUGUUGGGCAACCCAAUGAGUAUGACCUGAACGACAGCUUUCUAGAUGAUGAGGAAGAAGACUAUGAGCCAACAGAUGAAGAUUCUGACUGGGAACCAGGAAAGGAAGAUGAAGAGAAGGAAGAUGUGGAAGAGCUUUUGAAAGAAGCAAAAAGUUAAUGACUUUUACUACUGACUCUUUACAAAUGGGACAUUGAAACGUCAGCCUUCAGUAUAAUAGAUGGAAUUUUUUGUUGCCUUGCCUUUUCUUUCCUACUUAAAGCAUCUGGAAAUAGGAAGACAGAGAAGGUAGAGUAAAAAUGGAUAUUUUUUAUGUACUUUGUAUAUUGGUAAUAAAAAGUAAAAGCCAUAGGUUGCAUAAAACUUUGGUCUUUUUAAAUUUUUUUCCAAAGAUUAUGGAGUACUCUGCAAGUAUAACCAGGCAAAUUACAUGAAAACAUGCCUCUUUUCAUUGUUACUGAAGUAAUUCUGUAAGCAGAACCAGGCUUUAAAAAAUGCAGCCAUUACAUAAUGGCGUUUUUUUUCUAGUACCUUAGAUGUGAGCUUUGCAAUUUCACUUACUACUUUUAUCCUUCAAAACUUGGGAAGAUUGGUUCCAAAUGGGUACUGAAAAUAGACUCAACUAGGCUGUAGAAGAGAAAUGUUCACCAUGUAGGGAAUGUUAUUUUGUGUUCCACAUCUGCAAUUUACUGUAUGUUUGAAUUUAAAAGUAAAAAAACUCAAAAAACUUGACCUUUUUUUUCAAACUAAAGUCCUAGCUGAUUAUUUUAACUCUCAAUGUGCUGUCUUUAUAUUAAGAAUAGAGAAAUGACAUAACUUUC